rnacentral:lncRNA from 1 species
GGAUGGAGGAGGAAGAAGAAAGAAUGAGACGGGGAGAGAGCAGGAAGGCGUUGGGCUAGCCCCAAUUACGAUGAUGUGGCCUGUUUUGAAAUAUUAUGAGUUAGUUAUUAGCGAUCUGCUGUGGGUUGAUAUAUUUUUGGAGAAAAAACUUUUUGGAAGAACUCCUAGUAUAUAGUUUUGGGGAAGAAUUUUUUAGGAAACUCUACGUGUGUUUUCCGGUACAAAACAAAAGAGGAAAGGAAAAUAACAGACGCGAAUAGGCGCAAUCAGAACCGCUUCAUCAUGAAGCGCAUGUACGAGAGCAAAUCGACCUCGUACGGGCAGAACUUGAGCUCCGUGUUCGGUUCCCAUUUGCUGACCUCAAUCUUGCUCACCUCCAUGCUUUGCAAGUCGAGCAGCAGAGGGCCCAUGGUCUCAUCGCCCGCCCACAAGAAGAGUGUG